rnacentral:rRNA from 1 species
CAGCCGCCACGGUAAUACGGAGGGAGCUAGCGUUGUUCGGAAUUACUGGGCGUAAAGCGCGCGUAGGCGGUUACUCAAGUCAGAGGUGAAAGCCCGGGGCUCAACCCCGGAACUGCCUUUGAAACUAGGUAACUAGAAUCUUGGAGAGGUCAGUGGAAUUCCGAGUGUAGAGGUGAAAUUCGUAGAUAUUCGGAAGAACACCAGUGGCGAAGGCGACUGACUGGACAAGUAUUGACGCUGAGGUGCGAAAGCGUGGGGAGCAAACAGGAUUAGAUACCCGCUAGUCCCUGUCUCUUAUACA